AUGAACGCUGGCGGCAUGCCUAAUACAUGCAAGUCGAACGAGAGACCUUCGGGUCUCUAGUGGCGAACGGGUGAGUAACACGUAGGGAACCUGCCCGCGCACCGGGAAUACGCUCUGGAAACGGAGAACAAAUCCCGAUGUACAGGAAGGAGGCAUCUUCUUUCUGUGAAACAUCCUCUAGGGGAUGGGGCGCGGAUGGACCUGCGGUGCAUUAGUUGGUUGGCGGGGUAAAGGCCCACCAAGACGAUGAUGCAUAGCCGGCCUGAGAGGGCGGACGGCCACAUUGGGACUGAGACACGGCCCAGACUCCUGCGGGAGGCAGCAGUAGGGAAUUUUCGUCAAUGGGCGCAAGCCUGAACGAGCGAUGCCGCGUGAGUGAAGAAGGCCUUCGGGUCGUAAAGCUCUGUUGCGGGGGAAAAAAGGCAGCAUCAGGAAAUGGGUGCUGACUGAUGGUGCCCCGCCAGAAAGUCACGGCUAACUACGUGCCAGCAGCCGCGGUAAUACGUAGGUGGCGAGCGUUAUCCGGAAUGAUUGGGCGUAAAGGGUGCGCAGGCGGUCCUGCAAGUCUGGAGUGAAACGCAUGAGCUCAACUCAUGCAUGGCUUUGGAAACUGG
rnacentral:rRNA from 1 species